rnacentral:rRNA from 1 species
AUGAGCUACUGGGGUUCCUCGCCGGCGUGGGGGGCGGCCCGCCACGGGCCGUCUCCGAUGGUGCCCCUCAUGGUGGUGCUGGCCCUGGGGUGGGUCAUCUACAACGAGGCCCUGCUGGAGUGUUACGAGCGGGUGACCGAGGCGCGGGACACCGUGGCCGACAAUGCCAUGGUCUUCAUCCUCGCCGCCGGGCUCCUGCUGCUCGCCGUCCUCCUCCUCAGCAACCAGAUGGAGGUGGUCCUGGUGCCGGCGGUGCUGGUGCUGGUCAUGCUCUUGAUCCAGAACAUCGUCGUCGCGGCGCUCCUGCUGCUGCUGGCGGUGUACCUGGCCGGGAUAUACUACUACCCGCCUCACCGGGGCUACGGCGGCGGCUUCGCCGGAGCCGGGGGUGACUGGACGGGCUGGGGCUGCGGGCUGGGGUUCUACAUGCUGCUGCUGCUCUGCCUGGUGCUGUGCGCCAUGUUUUCGGAGGAGGGCGGCAGCUGGUGGAUCCCGGGCGUGCUGCUGGUUGCAUGCCUGCUCUGCCUCAACCUCUUCUCAGGUGGCAAAGUCUUAGGCCAGGAGUACUUUUGA